GAUGAACGCUGGCGGCGUGCCUAAUACAUGCAAGUCGAGCGAAUGGAUUAAGAGCUUGCUCUUAUGAAGUUAGCGGCGGACGGGUGAGUAACACGUGGGUAACCUGCCCAUAAGACUGGGAUAACUCCGGGAAACCGGGGCUAAUACCGGAUAACAUUUUGAACCGCAUGGUUCGAAAUUGAAAGGCGGCUUCGGCUGUCACUUAUGGAUGGACCCGCGUCGCAUUAGCUAGUUGGUGAGGUAACGGCUCACCAAGGCAACGAUGCGUAGCCGACAUAAGAGGGUGAGCGGCCACACUGGGACUGAGACACGGCCCAGACUCCUACGGGAGGAAGCAGUAGGGAAUCUUCCGCAAUGGACGAAAGUCUGACGAAGCAACGCCGCGUGAGUGAUGAAGGCUUUCGGGUCGUAAAACUCUGUUGUUAGGGAAGAACAAGUGCUAGUUGAAUAAGCUGGCACCUUGACGGUACCUGACCAGAAAGCCACGGCUAACUACGUGCCAGCCGCCGCAGUAA
rnacentral:rRNA from 1 species